CUGUAUCUUGUCCUCCGCUUGUGAAAAACUCAAGGAUGUGGAGAAGAGUAGACCGUGGAACCCUGCUCUUCUGCAGCCAAGCUGAGGGGCAGGAUGCGUGUGGGACAGUGGUAGAGAAGCAGGGGAUAGACUCAUAGGCUGCAACAAAGGUGACUCUGUCCCUGGACACUGCCUCCGUACUUUCUCCUUGCUUCACUGGCCACAGCAUCUCCCUCCAGCCCUCGCUAUGUGCCUCUGCCAUCUUCACCCAUCAUGGAGCAGAGGUGAGGAGAGGCAGCCUGGGAAUAUGGAGACCAGUGAAGGACCAGGCCUGGAGAGCACAGGGUCCUACCUGGGCAUCCAGCAGAGGAGCCCCUAAAGGCCAGGAGCACCCCAAGAGGAGGGAGGGCAGCCAGCCUCCAUUGACGGCGAGCCUCCAGCCCUCUCCUACUUUGAUCACCAUUUCUCUCCAGGCUUUCUGCCUCCGAGAUGUGGCACCAUAGUGCGGUGCCCUGUGGCUUCACCGCCCUACUUCCACCUCCGCCCAGCCUGUAAUGUUUAUAUAAGCAGCCUCAAGGACCAAGAACCAUCUGCGAAAGGACACACACAGGAAAUUCAUAAAAGAAAUCUGAAUGGAUAAAACCAUGAAAAAAAGUAUGCUUCAUUAGUAAUUAAAGAAAGGCAAAUAGAGCUGGAAGCAUUUUUCCCUUAGCAAACCAUAACAGAAAAAAAUAAGACCCAAUAUUGGCAAAGAGACUACUGAAAAAACAUUCCCAUACAUUGCGUGUGGGAGUAUACAUCGGUGCAGGCUUCCUGGAUGACAGUUGGGUGAUAUGUGUCAUGUGGCCUAAAAGCCUCCAUGUCAUUUGACCUACGAAUUCUAUCUUUGGGAAUUUAUCCUAAGAAAAUACUUAAGGAUUUAGUUAGUGAUAAGAUGUUCAUCCCAGCAUUGCAAUGGAGAAAAAUGGGAAGCAAUGGUUUGGUUGGGAAUUUAUUCCUUUUCUGCUGUAACGAAAGUUUGCAAUAGGGGAUUGCUUAAGUAAAUUAUUGUAUCUCCAUCCAGAUGGUGGAGUACCGCGCAGACAUUAAAAGUCAUGUAAAAGAACAUCUGACUGAAAGAAAAAUGCUCCUUGAAUAUUAAAAGGUUGUAAAAAUAGUGCAUGUUAUGUGAUUUCAAUUUUGUUUUUUAAAAUAUGGGUGUAUGCUUGUAUACGUAGAGCAGAUAAAAAAGACGGAAGGCAUACUAAAAAAUGUUGAGUGGUUAUCUUUGUAUGGUGGAACAAAGUCACUGUAAUUUUCAUCUUUGGUUUUUCUGUAAUUUCCAAAUUUUCCACAUUUUGUAUUUCAUAUAAUAUAAUUUAAG
rnacentral:lncRNA from 1 species